rnacentral:rRNA from 1 species
GUGGAGCUUAACUCCAUCAUGGCAGUGGAAACUGAAAGGCUUGAGUAUGGUAGGGGCAGAGGGAAUUCCCGGUGUAGCGGUGAAAUGCGUAGAUAUCGGGAAGAACACCAGUGGCGAAGGCGCUCUGCUGGGCCAUUACUGACGCUCAUGGACGAAAGCCAGGGGAGCGAAAGGGAUUAGAUACCCCUGUAGUCCUGGCCGUAAACGAUGAACACUAGGUGUCGGGGGAAUCGACCCCUUCGGUGUCGUAGCUAACGCGUUAAGUGUUCCGCCUGGGGAGUACGCACGCAAGUGUGAAACUCAAAGGAAUUGACGGGGGCCCGCACAAGCGGUGGAGUAUGUGGUUUAAUUCGAUGCAACGCGAAGAACCUUACCAGGGUUUGACAUCCUGCGAACCUCUUAGAAAUUUGAGGGUGCCUUCGGGAAUGCAGUGACAGGUGGUGCAUGGCUGUCGUCAGCUCGUGUCGUGAGAUGUUGGGUUAAGUCCCGCAACGAGCGCAACCCACGUUUUUAGUUGCCAGCAUUUAGUUGGGCACUCUAGAAAGACCGCCGGUGAUAAACCGGAGGAAGGUGUGGAUGACGUCAAGUCAUCAUGCCCCUUACACCCUGGGCUACACACGUACUACAAUGCUACGGACAAAGGGCAGCAAACUCGCGAGAGCUAGCAAAUCCCAUAAACCGUGGCUCAGUUCAGAUCGUAGGCUGCAACUCGCCUACGUGAAGUAGGAAUCGCUAGUAAUCGCAGGUCAGCAUACUGCGGUGAAUACGUUCCCGGGCCUUGUACACACCGCCCGUCACACCAUGGAAGUUGGCCAUGCCCGAAGUCGUUACUCCAACCCUUGUGGAGGAGGACGCCGAAGGUGGGGCUAAUGACUGGGGUGAAGUCGUAACAAGGUAGCCGUACCGGAAGGUGCGGCUG